rnacentral:rRNA from 1 species
GACGAACGCUGUCGGCGUGCUUAACACAUGCAAGUCGAACGGAAAGGCCCUGCUUUUGUGGGGUGCUCGAGUGGCGAACGGGUGAGUAACACGUGAGUAACCUGCCCUUGACUUUGGGAUAACUUCAGGAAACUGGGGCUAAUACCGGAUAGGAGCUCCUGCUGCAUGGUGGGGGUUGGAAAGUUUCGGCGGUUGGGGAUGGACUCGCGGCUUAUCGGCUUGUUGGUGGGGUAGUGGCUUACCAAGGCUUUGACGGGUAGCCGGCCUGAGAGGGUGACCGGCCACAUUGGGACUGAGAUACGGCCCAGACUCCUACGGGAGGCAGCAGUGGGGAAUAUUGCACAAUGGGCGGAAGCCUGAUGCAGCAACGCCGCGUGCGGGAUGACGGCCUUCGGGUUGUAAACCGCUUUCGCCUGUGACGAAGCGUGAGUGACGGUAAUGGGUAAAGAAGCACCGGCUAACUACGUGCCAGCAGCCGCGGUGAUACGUAGGGUGCGAGCGUUGUCCGGAUUUAUUGGGCGUAAAGGGCUCGUAGGUGGUUGAUCGCGUCGGAAGUGUAAUCUUGGGGCUUAACCCUGAGCGUGCUUUCGAUACGGGUUGACUUGAGGAAGGUAGGGGAGAAUGGAGUUCCUGGUGGAGCGGUGGAAUGCGCAGAUAUCAGGAGGAACACCAGUGGCGAAGGCGGUUCUCUGGGCCUUUCCUGACGCUGAGGAGCGAAAGCGUGGGGAGCGAACAGGCUUAGAUACCCUGGUAGUCCACGCUGUAAACGGUGGGUACUAGGUGUGGGGUCCAUUCCACGGGUUCCGUGCCGUAGCUAACGCUUUAAGUACCCCGCCUGGGGAGUACGGCCGCAAGGCUAAAACUCAAAGGAAUUGACGGGGCCCCGCACAAGCGGCGGAGCAUGCGGAUUAAUUCGAUGCAACGCGUAGAACCUUACCUGGGUUUGACAUGGAUCGGGAGUGCUCAGAGAUGGGUGUGCCUCUUUUGGGGUCGGUUCACAGGUGGUGCAUGCCUGUCGUCAGCUCGUGUCGUGAGAUGUUGGGUUAAGUCCCGCAACGAGCGCAACCCUUGUUCACUGUUGCCAGCACGUUAUGGUGGGGACUCAGUGGAGACCGCCGGGGUCAACUCGGAGGAAGGUGGGGAUGACGUCAAGUCAUCAUGCCCCUUAUGUCCAGGGCUUCACGCAUGCUACAAUGGCUGGUACAGAGAGUGGCGAGCCUGUGAGGGUGAGCGAAUCUCGGAAAGCCGGUCUCAGUUCGGAUUGGGGUCUGCAACUCGACCUCAUGAAGUCGGAGUCGCUAGUAAUCGCAGAUCAGCAACGCUGCGGUGAAUACGUUCCCGGGGCU